GAUGAAGAACGCAGCGAAAUGCGAUAAGUAGUGUGAAUUGCAGAAUUCAGUGAAUCAUCGAAUCUUUGAACGCACAUUGCGCCCCUUGGUAUUCCAUGGGGCAUGCCUGUUCGAGCGUCAUUAUAACCCCUCAAGCUCAGCUUGGUGUUGGGGCCUGCUGCACUGGCAGCCCUUAAAAUCAGUGGCGGCGCCAUCUGGCUCUAAGCGUAGUAAUUCUUCUCGCUAUGGAGUCCUGGUGGAUGCUUGCCAUCAACCCCCAAUUUUUCUAUGGUUGACCUCGGAUCAGGUAGGGAUACCCGCUGAACUUAAGCAUAUCAAUAAGCGGAGGA
rnacentral:misc_RNA from 1 species